rnacentral:rRNA from 1 species
UCAACGGAGCCGUCCGAUUGCUAUUUUCGGCGCGGACAGACGCAUUUGUCUCUCGCACCGAGGACGCCGCAGCCCGUGGGGAAGUGGAAACGUGACUGCCUGAAAGGCGAGAAGUGGCAGGUGGCCGGCGGUGUGCCUCGUGCUCUUCGCCGGUUUUUAGCCGUCUCGUCGGUGGCGUGUCUCCCCACGGAGGUGACGCAUCUCCCCUUCGACGAGGGCUGGACUUGCAGUCGCGAGCGAAGGCAACCGCGCGGCCGCACUCCUUAGGAGUGGGCCAGCGUCAGGUCGACGCCGUCGGUGACUGAGGACCAGUCGGAGGUUGGAGGUUAGCGGCGAAUUGGUCGGUCGCCCACCCGACCCGUCUUGAAACACGGACCAAGGAGUCUAACAUGUGCGCGAGUCGACGGGUCUCGAAUAAGCCCGGAGGCGCAACGAAAGCGAAGUUCUUGUCGGGAUCCCGGUAGCGGGCGCACCGACGACCUGUCUUUUGCGACUUGUCGCGUUGGCGGAGUCUGAGCGUACACGUUGGGACCCGAAAGAUGGUGAUCUAUGCCCAGGCA